CCUCCGCUCGCCUCACAUGCCGCCUUUCAGCACGGCUGCACACUGAGAUUUCAUGUAAUUUUGUUUUAGUGCAGAAUUUAAUGUUAAGUUUAAAUAUGUAAUUAUCUUUAAUUGAAAUUACAUCCAUGCUUUUCAUUAACAAGAUGCAAAGAGUGAGCAGUAUAACGCAGAGAUGUGAGAUCCAGGCUGCGCGGCGCGCCAGACCAGGUUGCAGGUUUGCUGCGGCCCCGUCCCGGGCCGAGUCCCACUAACUCCCGUCCGAAGUUUCACGGAAACUACUGCAUGGAAAUUAAAGCUUGGGGAGUCAUACAGUGAAGUCUCAUAGACCAGACCCCUGCAAAUACUGUGCUGCUAAAUGCACACAGCUGGAGAAACCCCCACAAACACCGUCUAUUGGAAGGAUGCACUGCAGCUGGCACAGCCUUUUAUCAGUCCCACCAGUCCAUGAAAAAUCUGCCCUGGUUUCUUACACCAGUUUGACUCCGGAUCACACUGGACCCGCUCGCGUCGGUGAGAAUGAAGCCGAUGUGGCAGAACCUGGUGACAAAUCUUCCCGGCAGCGUUUGAGCAGAGGCGGCUGCGCUGGGCUGGAGCGGAGCAGCCCCGGGACCCCGCGCGCUGCCCGGGGUCUGCGAGGGGCCGGGGGAAGGAGGCGAGGGAAGCGCUCGCUGCACAGCCAGCCUUCCACGUGCUGCCCUUUGCAUGCCAAGUACCUGCCAUGCCAGCGCCUUCCUCAGCUAUUUUCUGUUCCCACUCUGACCCAAAUGCUGUCUGUGACUGCGCAUAACUGCUCCCGCUCACCUCCGGCGCAAUUACUGCCUGCUAACAUCCCCCUCCUGCUUCCCGGAGACACAGACACGGAGAGGGAAUUUGCUAAAGGUGGCGUCAGAAGUUCAGCACCCCCACGGCAUCCAAAACGCCCGAGAAAUGCUCAGGAGGUUGGCUCGAGCAUCAAGGAUGCGGCGUGCCUCCCAGCCCUGACACGGGCGGCUCCGCGAGUGAGCUUGCACGGCAGCGGUUCCAUUACGCGUGUGCGCAGGAAUGUGUGUGCAUGUGUGCGUGGGAAUGCCUGAGGCCCCCGGCCUGCAAAGAUUUAUGUACGUGCUUAACUCUUAGCAGAUGAGAAAUCCCACUGAGACUAUGCAUGUGCUACAGGUUAAAGACAGGCAUAAAGCUUUGAAGAGUCUAAAUCUUAGAUUAUAAAGAUUAUAAAUUUUAGGAGGACAAGGACAGCCUCUGUCUGUACAGCAGCAGUGUCCUGCAGAGGAGGGACAGCUUCUGCCCACAGUUGCACCCCCUCACCCUCAUCCCCCCCGUACUGGCACGGCAGGACUGCGCCGGCGUGCGGCCCCCGGGGGUGCCAGGCACGGCCCGGGAAGGCUCUGGGCAGGCUGGCGGUCACGGUGUGCGUGUCAGGGGAACGCGCUUCUACUCAAAGGAAGGGAACGCGAUGCGAAGCAGAUGACACAUCCAUUCCUCUGCCGGCACUGGAGCUCGCACGGGACCGUGGAGCGAGCCGCAGGCUGCCGGCGACGGGGGGGGUCCUCACCCCACCAGCCCCCCGCUCGCUGCCGCGGCAAGACCGCGGGGAGCUGAUGUGGCAGGAACCGGAGACAGAGCCUGGGGACGUGCCCGAGUUUGCCAGAGCGGCCGUGCUCGGGUGGGACUGGUGCUGGCAGAGCCCGCGGUGCCGUUCCGGGGGGGCCGGGGGUCCCCGCUGGCCACCAGCCACCCAGCCCCAUCGUGGGGAAUGCCACAGCACGCAGGUGGCACCAGCCAUCCCGUUUUGUUUGGUAUAAUUUCAAAAAGAUGGGGCAAGAGGAAACUAUUUCCUGCUACUCUGUAUUUUUAAUUCAUAUUUUCACAGCUCUGCCUGUCCUAAAUCCCAAGCAGAUGGUGCAACUCAGCCCGUCUCCUCCAGCAAGGAUGAUCCCCGGGGCCUCCCUGCAGAGUGUACAUUUCAAAGGAUAAUUCCACAAGCACUUCUUACCCUGAUCCAGAGCCUUCUGAGCAUCCGUGUACUUCAUCACCCUUCACACAGACCUGCCCCUGCCCUGCACCAGCUCCCACCGGGGUUUCCUUUUCUCUUUUAAAAGGUAACUGGAGACAGAAGCUCUUAGAUGCAGCCUUGGAAGCAAAGGUAGCUGUGAAAUGCAAGAAGCAAAAGUGGAAAAAAACCCCAAGAAACAAAACCAAAAGAGAAAAGAAGGAAAACCCCUGUAUGAAUUCUGUGAUUUAUGCUACAAAAAUGGGAACCGUCCCCCCCGCCUUCCAGGUGUGGAGGUAACCCCAACCUCGGUCGAAGACGGGGCAAGAGAAGCAAGCUCAUUUCAAAGCAGCCCCUUCCCUGCACCUGCAGCACCUUUUUGUGCUCGGGAAGCAUUUCUGCACUAACAAAUCCCGUUUAAUAAUUGCGUUACAAAAGCCUCACUCUGAAUAUUUAAUAGAAUUAUUGCUAGUUAUCAGCACAAGUAGGUGAUAAAUCACAAGCCGCCUUUACCCAACACCAGGCAGAGCCAUUACAGGGUUUCAAUCAUGUUUCCCACCCUGCUCCCAUGUCAGAAUGACCAUGAAUUAAACAGAAAAACAAACAACCAACCUGCCCCCAACUCCCCGGGUUUCAUUCCUUUACAAAAUAAAAAGACAAAGCAGCAUUACAGGCUCAGGCCCGGGCCCAGCUGUCCCCGAGUGCCACCAGCCCAACUCCUCGGUGCCCUCGGCUCCCUCCGGCGCUGCCUCCCCGGCAGAGCCCUCCGGCGCUGCCCCCCUCCGCCGUGUAUGAAUGAGGUGAUCUUUUCGCUGCCCUUUGUCUUGGAAAAAAAUUAAUUCUCAUUUGCAUUACCUCGACUAAAUGUCACCCACCGAUAUUUUGUUAGACAUUAGCAGUGCUGGCAGAGAGGGGCACGGGAUAAUUGCGUUCUGCCUAGCGGUGGGAUUUACAUAAUUUCAGACAGCAAUUAAAGAAUCCCUGGGAAUUUUUUUUUUUUUCUCUUCCAACCUCUCCUACAAAGAAAGUGUUCGUUUACAUUAAGCGCUCAGCUCCUCGCUGUUCAUUUGCAUAAAAUUAAAGGUUUUUGUGUUCUGGAACAGCAGGGUAACAUUUAAAAUUCCGUUUCAAAAAGCUCACCUUAGAAUAAUAAAAUGUUAAUAUCAUUUCAUGGGCUGGAGAAGGUUGCCAGCUGCCUUUCACUUCAAACUUUUAUCCAAUACUAACUGUUUGGGUGGGUGAUAUUAUUAAUAUUUUUUUUUGUUAAGAUAUAAACUUUCUUGAAAAAGUGCAGGGAUGUAAAUGUGCCUACCGAUGGGUCUCUGCAGGGCUACUCCAGAGCAGAAUGUUUGUUUACUCCAUAGUUUUUUAAUUAAAAAAUCAUGCAAAAGA